UAUAUAAGUUACGUCAUAAUAAUCAAAUUGGCAAUUUUAUUUUUAACUAUAACAGCAUCAAACUACUCGUGUUUAAAAAAAAUUUACCAAAACCGAUACGCUUACAAGUUUCGGACCGAUACGUUCAUUUAUUCAUAACAUCACUAGAUCACGAAAUAAGCCAAUCGCAGCCGAAUGAGCGAUAGGCGUCUACGCCGUCCACCCGGUCCACCUACUUUAUGUUAUGUCAAAUCAAAGUUUCCGUAACUUGAAAAGCCGAAAUUUUAAACUUUGUUUUAAAAACUUUAACACUUUCAAAAAAUCUAGUUAAAAGUGCCUCAGAAACUAUCGAAUAGUUAUAAAAUACAGUUUAAAUGUAGUAUUUGUUAAGUUUGUACGUGUUUAAAACUUGAACAUUGUGUAGUAGUGAGUGCCGAGUGAAAUAACGUACUAAAGUUUUACUGUUUUGUGGAUUUUUGGACGAACGGGAAACAGGUCCACGCCCUUUCUUAGUUUUUCAGAUCACCUCCUGAUCCCACCUUCCUGAAGAUAUCCAAGAUUCCUUUUUUAUUAAAGAUUCAAAUCGUAUUGCGUGAUUUUUAAACAA